UUGGGUCUGAUCUGACACCCCACCAAACAAUCCACGCGAGUCUGAUCUGACACCCCACCCAAUAUUUCACAUGAAGUCAGUCAGAAAACCUUUAUAUAGCCUUUCUUUAUUUUUCUUGCUGAAUCGUAGCCUCAGCCUUUCAGUUAUUGUCUGUCUCCCUAAAUUGGGUAAAAUGGUAGCCUCACUCUUUCACUUAUUGUCUCUGUGUGUGAUCACUUUGAGUUUCUUUACAGUUGCUUUGCUUGUCAUAUUGCCUCUGUGAACUGCCCUAAUUCAUUGUCAUAAAUAUAUAUAUAUAUAUAUAUAUAUGUGUGUGUGUGUGUGUGACAAUUUUACUGUGAUUUGAUUAAUUUGAAUUAUUUAUUUUCCUGCAUAAGCUUUAUCUAACUCCGAUCUUGUGACACCAUUGAAUUUGGAUCCUUUAAAUAAAAAUUUAAAAAAAAGUUUGGAAUUGUCACCCAUUUAGAUUUAGAUCUAUGUUAAUACAAAUAAUAUUAAAAAAAAAAAAAAAAGGUUAGAUUUGCUUUUGACCUAGUAUCUGUUAAAAUGUAAAUAUGUAACGUUUUUACCCUUAAGAGUACAUUUUAGAUUUAGCACUAUGUUAAUACAAAAAAACAAACAAGUUAGAUUUGUUUUUGACUUAGUAUCAUGUAAUCAUCAUUUUAUUUUUUGGGUAAUCAUUGUUGUCUCUUUUGAAUUAUUACAAGAGUUGCAGAGAUUCCAUUUAAGCUAAAAUCCGUGUAUAUAAUUGCAUGAAUAGCGUAGGCUCUUAUUAAAUAAAAAUUUGAUGGUAAAGAAUGGAGUGGUGAUUAAGUACACCUUCAUUUAUUCUUAAUGAUUUUUUUACCAUCAAAUUUUCAUUUAUGCCAAAAUCUGCCUGAAAUUGAUGAAAACAUGAGAAAGAUUUAAGCUAAAAUUGCAAAAGGGUUUGUUGGUUUAUUUAGUGAAAUUCUGUUUAAGCUAAAACCAUCAGUUUGGUAUAAGACUUUGUUGUUGUUGUUGUACAUAGCUUUCUUGUAUUUUUCUCUUCAUGCAUUUCUGAGUGUUUGAAAUGAUACAAUGUGGACUUGCUUGCAAAAAUUUUAACAUUAGAGCUUCAAUUUUUAUCUUCUCAAGUCAUUCCCUAGGAGUUUGUUUACUUGAGUUUUGUUGUCCUUGAUUUAGUAGUUGUUGUUUGCUUGUUGUUGUAGACGCUUUAAUGCUGUGUUGUUUCCACAGAUUUUGUGCUAGGUGAUCGAACGGUUUUGUUUGCUGCUUGUGGUUGCAGAUUUGUUUGGAUGAACUGAUGUAUCUAAUUCCUUGUUAAUGAAUUAUUACUUGUUCAUUUUUUUUUCCAUGAAAUUUUGAGGGAAAUUGGAGAUGCCUUAUUUUAUAUCUUAGCAAUUUUGUGGUUCGUAUGAAAAUAAAGAGAACUGGUUAAAAAAAUGUGGUUAUUUUUUAAUUGGGUUUUCCGAUUUCCACGUACACUUGGUUUUAAGAAAUCCAUUCACCUCAUUUUAAUGGAAAUUGGAGAAAUUAGUAAUUAUUGAAACUAUUUUCAAUACCUCUGCAUUGGUUGAAUCCUUGUUUUGGACUAGUCUAGUUAUACCAAAGACAUGUUACCACCAUGGAAAUUGGAGAUAUACUUUUCGCCUAACGUACAACUUUUGCCAUAACUGUUCUGAUCUUGUUGAUACAUAAAUUGGCAAUGUCACCGUGCGUAAAGUGGAUGAACUCAAUCUCAGGAUUCACAGUGAUGUAUGGGGUUGGAAACCUUCGAAGUUGCUACAUAGUCAUGUUAAUUUCUCUUGCAAGACAUUAGUGGAUCUAGAGUAUCUAUGUGAUAUGCUUAAACGUUUCAGCGCAGGUACUCAUAUUUUUGUUCAGGCAGAUGUUACUAUUUGUACGAAAAAAAAGUGUAUCUACGUUUAAACGUUUUAAGUGUAUCACAAGAUUAAUGUGUACCUAUGCUAAAGAACUUCAGCUUUAUAAAACUUUUUGAACUAGACAACUUAGUUCAGGCAGAUGUUAAUAUUUGUGAAUUUGAAGCUGAAGAUCAUUGAAUGUUAUGCAGAUAGGGUAUUCAAGCUUCUUGCAGCACUCUAUGAGGUCAUAUUCCUGUAAGUUUUUUCUAGUCACUCAGAGAGGGAAGGUAUGAUGUCAUCCUCUUUCAACCUGGGUCUUUAUCCCUAACUGCAUAUGCCGAUGAAAAUUGGGCUGGGAAUCCCUUUCAUAGAAGAUCUACAAAAGGCUUCAUUGUUUUCCUUGGCCACAAUCCUAUCAGUAGGUGUGUUUCUUUCCCACUCACAUAUGAUCUGGUGUGAUAAAGUCUCUUCACUAGCUAUUGCCUCAAAUCCUGUUUUCCACGCUAGAACAAAACAUAUUGAAGUUUGACUUCCACUUUGUCCAAGAAUUUGUGGUCUGCAAAGGCCUCAAAGGUAAAUUUACCUCAAGCCAGGACCAGAUUGCAGAUGUUCUUACCAAAUGCCUUCGUCUAAAAACUCAUGGUUACUCCAGUCCCCCCCAUUCAUUUGAUGGGGGAUGUUAGUGAUCCUACUUUACUGAAGGAAAUUGGUACAUGAUUAUAGUGAAACUUGAUCAUUGAAGACUGUUGAAAUUUGUUACAGAUUAGUUCAGCUUGUUAUAACUACAAUUCUAUUAUAGCAGUCAACCCUGCAACCAUCUUUUGGUAUGGCAGUUAAGUGUAGUUAAUCUUGCAUUGUUUGUUACCAGCUAUCAAAGGCACAUUUGUAGUCUAGAGCAAGUCUUUAAAUACUUAUGUACAUGUUCUCUAUGAUUAAUGCAAUUCACUUUCAAAUUCAUUUUGUUCUUCUCUCAA